AACGAACGCUGGCGGCAGGCCUAACACAUGCAAGUCGAGCGCGCCCUUCGGGGUGAGCGGCGGACGGGUGAGUAACGCGUGGGAACGUGCCCUUUUCUACGGAAUAGCCUCGGGAAACUGAGAGUAAUACCGUAUACGCCCUUUGGGGGAAAGAUUUAUCGGAAAAGGAUCGGCCCGCGUUGGAUUAGGUAGUUGGUGGGGUAAUGGCCUACCAAGCCGACGAUCCAUAGCUGGUUUGAGAGGAUGAUCAGCCACACUGGGACUGAGACACGGCCCAGACUCCUACGGGAGGCAGCAGUGGGGAAUCUUAGACAAUGGGGGCAACCCUGAUCUAGCCAUGCCGCGUGAGUGAUGAAGGCCUUAGGGUUGUAAAGCUCUUUCAGCUGGGAAGAUAAUGACGGUACCAGCAGAAGAAGCCCCGGCCAACUCCGUU
rnacentral:rRNA from 1 species